rnacentral:tRNA from 1 species
GGCGGUGUGGCGAAAUGGCAGACGCAGCAGACUUAAAAUCUGCUGAGGCGGAAGCCUCGUGCGGGUUCGAGUCCCGCCACCGCUA